GGGGAGAUAGCAUAGUGGUUAUGCAAGGGAUUUUUAUGCCUAAAGCUCCGAAGACCCAGGUUCAAUUCCUGGCAUCACCA
rnacentral:tRNA from 1 species